GGCCAGCCGGCACGCAUCGCACAGCUUGGCCCUCCGGUCCGUGGGGGGUGGCGUCGAGGCAGGUGCCCGGCACCGCAGCGAGAGGCAGAGUCUGCGGCGCCAAACUGCGUGCCGCGAAAUUUAGAUCUCCCGCGGAAAAUGCCGUGCUUCGGUUGGCUGCUGCAAUAUGCACAGACUCCACCCCCCGGAAAGGACCGUCCCCAAGACAGCGAUUGCCACACAGGCCUACUGCUUAAAGGGGCCGCCACACCUGCUGUUGCCAGGCGUUCGCCAGCGCGAGCAGCCCGCCAAACGGGAGAGUGGUUCCAAACAGAGCAGCGCGGAGCCCUCGGAGGAAUGGGCCCCGACUCCAUGCGGUUGGGGGGAAACGUUUUGGCGCGGAAUCCUGACCUGAGCGGAGAUCCAACAGCACUUUAUCCAGGCCUAAAGCCUUUUGGUAGUUUGCACGAUAGCUUAGCUAGCGUUAUAUACAUCUAUAUUCUUUUUCCCGCUAAAAUGAAAGCCAGGAACCUUGUUUUUUUUCUUGGCAGAGGGGGUGAGGGGCGGAACCUAACAUUUAUACCUCUUCACAGAAGGAUGCUAACAUUUACUGAUCUCCUACAGGACGCCAAGCACCCUAGUAGACCAUGACGUGUUGUUUUAUUUAAUUUAAUCCAGCAAUUCUUGGAAGAAGAAUGAUGAUCUUUGUGAGGAUGGAGAGUUUAAGAGGCUAGGUAACUUGCCCAAGAUCAACACAGAGAUUCACUGAUUUGAGUACUGGCAGUCCAGUCUGUGACAGGCCGGCUCCUGAGCCCUUGUUUGUUCCAGUAGAAGGUUAUUCCCCCACUCUCCCAAGCUGUGCCCUGCUCCUUGCAAGCAUGCGUUGGGGUUGGGGGUCCAGAGUGCAGACCUCUGUCUUGUUCACAGAUACAUUCCCAGAGCCCAACACUCAAUAAAUAUUUGCAUAUC